AGCAGCCGCGGUAAUUCCAGCUCCAAUAAGCGUAUAUUAAAGUUGUUGCAGUUAAAAAGCUCGUAGUUGAAUUUCGGGGGUUAAGUAGGUUGGUCAUGCCUCUGGUAUGUACUGGUCUCACUGAUUCCUCCUUCCUGAUGAGCCGUAAUGCCAUUAAUUUGGUGUUGCGGGGAAUUUGGACUGUUACUUUGAAAAAAUUAGAGUGUUUAAAGCAAGCUAACGCUUGAAUACAUUAGCAUGGAAUAAUGAAAUAGGACGUUUGAUCCUAUUUUGUUGGUUUCUAGGAUUGACCGUAAUGAUUAAUAGGGAUAGUUGGGGGCAUUAGUAUUCAAUUGUCAGAGGUGGAAUUCUUGGAUUUAUUGAUGACUAACUACUGCGAAAGCAUUUGCCAAGGAUGUUUUCAUUAAUCAAGAACGAAAGUUAGGGGAUCGAAGACGAUCAGAUACCGUCGUAGUCUUAACCAUAAACUAUGCCCGACUAGGGAUCGGAUGAUGUUAAUUUUUUAAUGACUCA
rnacentral:rRNA from 1 species